AGGGCACCCCCAGUAAUGGAGCCUGCACUUUAAUUUUUCUCGACACGGAAAAACUCGCCCGGCCCGGACACGGUAAGGAUUGACCGACUGAGAGCUCUUUCUUGCUUCGUGGGUUGGUGACGCAUGGCCGUUCUUAGGUGAAGGAGGUAUUUGCUGGGGUGCUUCCCAUAUCAAACGAUUCUCUCGCCUACUAAAUCGAUCGCUGAUCGGAUCCUAGGCCGAGAUUCUGACAGGGCCAAGGGGCGCCUAACCGCAUGAAACAGAGGAGUAACGGGGCUGGGAUGUUGUUAGAUGUCCGGCUCCGCACGCCCGCGACACUGAAAGAAGCCGCGUGCGCGUACGCCUGGCCCGGACGGACCGGUCAACCCGAUGAAAUUCUUUCGCGCUUGGAACAGGGAAUUGCAAUUACUUCACUUGAACAAGGAAAUCCCAGGAAAUGCCCCUCAUAAGCUCGCGUGGAUUAUCUCCCGGUCCUUUGCAGACGCUGCCCGUCUCUGCUACCGAUUGUAUGACUUAGUG
rnacentral:rRNA from 1 species